GAUGAACGCUGGCGGCGUGCCUAAUACAUGCAAGUCGAGCGAACAGAUAAGGAGCUUGCUCCUUUGAAGUUAGCGGCGGACGGGUGAGUAACACGUGGGUAACCUACCUAUAAGACUGGAAUAACUUCGGGAAACCGGAGCUAAUGCCGGAUAACAUAUAGAACCGCAUGGUUCUAUAGUGAAAGAUGGUUUUGCUAUCACUUAUAGAUGGACCCGCGUCGUAUUAGCUAGUUGGUAAGGUAAUGGCUUACCAAGGCGACGAUACGUAGCCGACCUGAGAGGGUGAUCGGCCACACUGGAACUGAGACACGGUCCAGACUCCUACGGGAGGCAGCAGUAGGGAAUCUUCCGCAAUGGGCGAAAGCCUGACGGAGCAACGCCGCGUGAGUGAUGAAGGUUUUCGGAUCGUAAAACUCUGUUAUUAGGGAAGAACAAAUGCGUAAGUAACUGUGCGCAUCUUGACGGUACCUAAUCAGAAAGCCACGGCUAACUACGUGCCAGCCGCCGCCGUAA
rnacentral:rRNA from 1 species